rnacentral:rRNA from 1 species
UACGUAGGGGGCGAGCGUUGUCCGGAAUCAUUGGGCGUAAAGAGCGUGUAGGCGGCUUGGCAAGUCUGACGUGAAAGCCCGCGGCUCAACCGCGGAUUGUCGUUGGAAACUGCCUCGCUAGAGUCCGGAAGAGGAGAGCGGAAUUCCUGGUGUAGCGGUGGAAUGCGCAGAUAUCAGGAAGAACACCCGUGGCGAAAGCGGCUCACUGGGUCUUUUCUGACGCUGAUGCACGAAAGCUAGGGGAGCAAACGGG